CAAGACCUUGCGCUUUUGGAGCGGCCGAUGUCUGAUUAGCUAGUUGGUGAGGUAAAGGCUUACCAAGGCUUCGAUCAGUAGCUGGUCUGAGAGGACGACCAGCCACACUGGGACUGAGACACGGCCCAGACUCCUACGGGAGGCAGCAGUGGGGAAUUUUGGACAAUGGGGGCAACCCUGAUCCAGCCAUGCCGCGUGAGUGAAGAAGGCCUUCGGGUUGUAAAGCUCUUUCAGCCGGAACGAAACGGUCACGGUUAAUAACCGUGAUCACUGACGGUACCGGAAGAAGAAGCACCGGCUAACUACGUGCCAGCAGCCGCGGUAAUACGUAGGGUGCGAGCGUUAAUCAGAAUUACUGGGCGUAAAGCGUGCGCAGGCGGUUUUGUAAGUCAGAUGUGAAAUCCCCGGGCUUAACCUGGGAACU
rnacentral:rRNA from 1 species